UGUUUGAUCCCGGCGGAGGCCAUUGCUAUCGGUGUCCGAUUUAGCCAUGCGAGUUGUACGUCUAACGUAGCAAACCGCUCAGUAACACGUGGCCAAACUACCCUACGGAUCGGGAUAACCUCGGGAAACUGAGGCUAAUCCCGAAUAGCGCUCCCGAGCUGGAAUGCUGGGAGCGCCAAACGCUCCGGCGCCGUAGGAUGUGGCUGCGGCCGAUUAGGUAGAUGGUGGGGUAACGGCCCACCAUGCCGAUAAUCGGUACGGGUUGUGAGAGCAAGAGCCCGGAGACGGACUCUGAGACAAGAGUCCGGGCCCUACGGGGCGCAGCAGGCGCGAAACCUUUACACUGCACGCAAGUGCGAUAGGGGGACACCGAGUGCGAGGGCAUAGAGCCCUCGCUUUUCUGUACCGUAAGGCGGUACAGGAACAAGGGCUGGGCAAGACCGGUGCCAGCCGCCGCGGUAACACCGGCAGCCCAAGUGAUGGCCGAUCUUAUUGGGCCUAAAGCGUCCGUAGCUUGCCGAGUAAGUUCGUCGGGAAAUCUACUGGCUUAACCAGUAGGCGUCCGGCGAAAACUGCUCGGCUUGGGACCGGGAGACCAGAGGGGUACGUCCGGGGUAGGAGUGAAAUCCUGUAAUCCUGGACGGACCACCGGUGGCGAAAGCGCCUCUGGAGAACGGAUCCGACAGUGAGGGACGAAAGCUAGGGUCUCGAACCGGAUUAGAUACCCGGGUAGUCCUAGCUGUAAACGAUGCUCGCUAGGUGUGGCGCAGGCUACGAGCCUGCGCUGUGCCGUAGGGAAGCCGUGAAGCGAGCCGCCUGGGAAGUACGUCUGCAAGGAUGAAACUUAAAGGAAUUGGCGGGGGAGCACUACAACCGGAGGAGCCUGCGGUUUAAUUGGACUCAACGCCGGACAUCUCACCAGCUCCGACAGCAGUGAUGACGAUCAGGUUGAUGACCUUAUUCGACGCUGCUGAGAGGAGGUGCAUGGCCGCCGUCAGCUCGUACCGUGAGGCGUCCUGUUAAGUCAGGCAACGAGCGAGACCCA
rnacentral:rRNA from 1 species